AGUGAACGCUGGCGGCGUGCCUAAUACAUGCAAGUCGAACGGAGUGGCGCACAGGUGAGAAAUAUAUAGCUAAUCUGCACCUUGCUGGGGGACAAAACUUAGAAAUGACUGCUAAUAUUCCAUAGGAAGGGAUGAGACUAUAUCGUAUCAGCUAGUCGGUUGGGUAACGGCCGACCGAGGCUAUGACGCGUAACUGGUAUGCGAGGAUGAUCAGUCACAUUGGAAGUGAGACACGGUCCAAACACCUACGGGAAGCAGCAGUAGGGAAUAUUGCGCAAUGGGCGAAACCCUAACGCAGUAACGCCGCGUGGAGGAUGGCACUUUGCGGAGCGUAAACUCCUUUUUUUAGGAAAGCGGUACCUAACGAGUAAGCACCGGCUAACUCCGUGCCAGCAGCCGCGGUAAUUC
rnacentral:rRNA from 1 species